rnacentral:tRNA from 1 species
AGCUCAGUUGGUAGAGUGUUUGCCUCACAUGCACAAGGCCCUGGGUUCAAUCCCCAG